AAGUCUAGAAAUUUAACGACUUAUGGUCGGUCGCUAUAGAGGUAAGUGUGUAACCGAUGGUGGGUCGUUAUAGGGGUAUGUGAUUUUUAUGUUUCUUAUUUACUCACCAAAGCCCAUCUAAAGGCCUACUAAACAAACAAACAAACCCUAUUCCAAGCGCGCAGCCGCCGUCACUUCUCCCAUGGCCGCCCCCUCCCUCAGCCGUGGAGGGUGCCGCCGCCACCUCACCCUUGAUGCUCGCCAUCUCCCUAGCCGCCAUCUCCCUCAUGGCGCCAAGCCCAUGGCUUUCCUGGUGCUCGCCUCUCCCAGCCGUUCCUAUCUCCAGCGCUGGCUGCCAUCUCCUCCACGAGGUGUCUUCUCUGUCGCUACUCCCUGCGUGAUUCCCUUGGCCGGCGUCCUCGACUACUCAGCCAUGGAGGUCGCUGCCCCUUCUUUUCCUCAUCUUCCUCCAUCGGUUCUGAGCUCGGCGCCCCUGCUCCCUGCUCCUGUCCCUCCCAUGGACGCCGCCCCCUCCCUCAGCUCACUCCCUCUAGCUGCCAUGGAGCUCGCCCCUGCCCAAGUCCG
rnacentral:misc_RNA from 1 species